CGGAGGUGGCUAACGUUACUCGGAAUUAUUGGGUGUAAAGGGCAAGUAGGCGGCUUAAUAAGUGGGGGGUGAAAUACUCCGGCUCAAUCGGAGAACUGCCUUCCAAACUGUUAAGCUUGAGUACGACAGAGGAAAAUGGAAUUCUUGGUGUAAGGGUGAAAUCUGUAGAUAUCAAGAAGAACACCAGCUGCGAAGGCGAUUUUCUGGGUCGUUACUGACGCUAAAUUGCGAAAGCUAGGGGAGCAAACAGAAUUAGAUACUCUGGUAGUCCUAGCCGUAAACGAUGAGCACUAGGUGUUGGGUCCUUUAGGACUCGGUGCCGCAGCUAACGCAUUAAGUGCUCCACCUGGGGACUACGGUCGCAAGGCUA
rnacentral:rRNA from 1 species